GCCAAAUCCAUUGUAUAAGAAACUGAAGCUGGAACAUAAACAGGUUAUGUGGGAACUAAGGGUCUUUGAAAAUGAAAACACCCAGGUCUCCGAAGAGUUCAGUGAGCUGAAUAAGGAAAACGUCUUCUAUCGCGGUCUACACAGCCAGCUCCUGAUGGAACAGACUCAGCUGAACAAGAAGGUGGACACGCUGAGACAGGAGAAAAAGAAACUGCAGGAGGAUUGGUUCCUGCUGAAGCAGCACUUGGAGGACUUGAACUUGUUCUGUAAGAACCAAGAUGAAGAGACCAGUGACCUCAAAAUCAAGCAGGGACGUGGUAUGAUUAAGGAGCUCAAGAGAUUGGAGGAAAGACUUGAGGUCCUACUGAAGCAGAAGCAGAAGGUCAGUCAGAAAAUGGAUUUGGCAGAAAAGCUGCAGCAUCACUUUGGUGACUCCCUGAU
rnacentral:lncRNA from 1 species